GACGAACGCUGGCGGCGUGCUUAACACAUGCAAGUCGAACGAGAGCGUAGAGAAAGCUUGCUUUUUCUACAAUCUAGUGGCAAACGGGUGAGUAACGCGUAAACAACCUGCCCUACGGAUGGGGACAACAGCUGGAAACGGCUGCUAAUACCGAAUACGUUCCGAAAGUCGCAUGACUAUCGGAAGAAAGGAUGGCCUCUAUUUAUAAGCUAUCGCCGGAGGAGGGGUUUGCGUCUGAUUAGCUAGUUGGAGGGGUAACGGCCCACCAAGGCGACGAUCAGUAGCCGGUCUGAGAGGAUGAACGGCAACAUUGGACCUGAGACCCGGUCCAGACUCCUACGGGAGGCAGCAGGGGGGAAUCUUCCGCAAUGGGCGAAAGCCUGACGGAGCAACGCCGCGGGAGUGAAGACGGCCUUCGGGUUGUAAAGCUCUGUUAUACGGGACGAAUAAUCUUGUGGUUAAUACCCAUGAGAAGUGACGGUACCGUAAGAGAAAGCCACGGCUAACUACGUG
rnacentral:rRNA from 1 species